rnacentral:lncRNA from 1 species
GAAGUUUUUAUCUUAAUUUCAUACGUUUUCUCUUACCUGCUGCACAACAUAAACAGUUAAAACUAUUAAACUCUGUACUAAAGUUGAAACCAAAUGUCGUUCCUUCAUCGAGCCACGUGGUCUUUCUUUUAUAUGGAUUUUCUCUCUCUCCCUCACAUGCUCUUCCUCCCUCACAUGGACUCACAUGGGUUAUGUUAAAUAAGCACGUACUAUGCAAAAUUUUGUUUCAUGCACCCUCUGUAUCAUAUUAAACAAUAAUAAUUUUAAAGGUAAGAGGCUACGUUAAAAGGGCAUGUAUUAUGGAACAUUUUGUUCCAUGCACUCUCUGUAUCAUGUU